rnacentral:rRNA from 1 species
AGAGUUUGAUCAUGGCUCAGGACGAACGCUGGCGGCGCGCCUAACACAUGCAAGUCGAACGGAGUUGUGUUGAAAGCUUGCUGGAAAUACAACUUAGUGGCGGACGGGUGAGUAACACGUGAGUAACCUGCCUUUCAGAGUGGAAUAACGUUUGGAAACGAACGCUAAUACCGCAUAACAUGAGAGAACGGCAUCGUUCUUUCAUCAAAGAUUUUAUCGCUGAGAGAUGGGCUCGCGGCCGAUUAGGUAGUUGGUGAGAUAACAGCCCACCAAGCCGACGAUCGGUAGCCGGCCUGAGAGGGUGAACGGCCACAUUGGGACUGAGACACGGCCCAGACUCCUACGGGAGGCAGCAGCGGGGAAUAUUGCACAAUGGGGGAAACCCUGAUGCAGCGACGCCGCGUGAAGGAAGAAGUAUCUCGGUAUGUAAACUUCUAUCAGCAGGGAAGAGAGUGACGGUACCUGACUAAGAAGCCCCGGCUAACUACGUGCCAGCAGCCGCGGUAAUACGUAGGGGGCAAGCGUUAUCCGG